UUUUCCCGGAGCGUCUCCAAUAAUGAACUCUGACAUGGUGGCACGUGUACGGAUGCAGGAAGGAGCCUGACCACGUUGGCAGAGCAGGUCACAUGCUGUCUUCCCUUCCGUCCUUAAAAUGUGCAUUUAUAUCACAUACAGGUUUGACACUGAAUGUUGAAAAGCAAAGUAGGAUCUGCUACAGGUCCCUUUAAAUUUUAUAGAAAGCAUCGAGAUUUUUAAAAGGUUACUUAAAUGUACACUAUCUUAAAAUACUUGACUGUUGUCAAUAAAGUGUUAGUAUUUGUG
rnacentral:lncRNA from 1 species